AAUGAACGUUGGCGGCAUGGAUUAGGCAUGCAAGUCGAGCGAGAAGUGUAGCAAUACACGGAAAGCGGCGGAAGGGAGAGUAAUACGUGGGAAUCUGCCCUUAGACCUGGGAUAGAAGCGGGAAACUGCUGGUAAUACCAGAUAAUGUCUAUGGACCAAAGGUGUGAUUCCGUCUAGGGAUGAGCCCACGACCUAUUAGCUAGUUGGUAGGGUAAUGGCCUACCAAGGCGAUGAUGGUUAGCGGGUGUGAGAGCAUGACCCGCCUCACUGGGACUGAGACACUGCCCAGACACCUACGGGUGGCUGCAGUCUGGAAUCUUCGGCAAUGGGCGCAAGCCUGACCGAGCGAUGCCGCGUGCGGGAUGAAGGCCUUCGGGUUGUAAACCGCUGUCGAGGGGGAGCAACUUCCAUAGAGUUAUCUUUAUGGAUUGAGUGAUCCCUGGAGGAAGGACGGGCUAAGUUCGUGCCAGCCGCCGCCGUAAUAC
rnacentral:rRNA from 1 species